AAGUCUAAAUGUAAAUCCGCAGGGAGAAUGAGGGGCUUUUGGGGGCACUUGUGUUUCAGUUUCACCAUCAUAAUGCCCCUAAAAAUCCUUAUUGCUCUUGCACUGAUCCCCACACAUGUUU
rnacentral:precursor_RNA from 8 species